ACCUGAGAGGGCGAUCGGCCACACUGUAACUGAGACACCGUCCAGACUCCUACGGGAGGCAGGAGGAGGGAAUCUUCCGCAAUGGGCGAAAGCCUGACGGAGCAACGCCGCGUGAGUGAUGAAGGUCUUCGGAUCGUAAAACUCUGGGAUUAGGGAAGAACGUGUGUGUAGGGGACUAUGCACGUCUUGACGGUACCUAAUCAGAAAGCCACGGGUAACUACGUGCCAGCAGCCGCGGUAAUACGUAGGUGGCAAGCGUUAUCCGGAAUUAUUGGGCGUAAAGCGCGCGUAGGCGGUUUUUUAAGUCUGAUGUGAGAGCCCGCGGGUCAACCGUGGAGGGUCAUUGGAAACUGGAAAACUUGAGUGCAGAAGAGGAAAGCGGAAUUCCAUGUGUAGCGGUGAAAUGCGCAGAGAUAUGGAGGAACACCAGUGGCGAAGGCGACUUUCUGGUCUGUAACUGACGCUGAUGUGCGAAAGCGUGGGGAUCAAACAGGAUUAGAUACCCUGGUAGUCCGCGCCGUAACGAUGAGUGCUAAGUGUUAGGGGUUUCCGCGCCCUUAGUGCUGCAGCUAACGCAUUAGCACUCCGCCUGGGAGUACGACCGCAAGGUUGAACUCAAGGAUUGACGGGGACGCGCACGAGCGGGGAGCAUGUGGUUUAUUCGAGGUGCGCGAGGAGCUUACGAUCUGACAUCCUCUGACUCGUCUAGAGAAGAGU
rnacentral:rRNA from 1 species